AGGGAGCACAUUGAUCCCAUCUGUUUUCAACCUGAGGCUGGGGCUAUGUGUCUGUUUCCCUGUGUUUGCUAACAUUGACUCACAUCAAAUGCUCAGUGAAUCCUCGGCAAGUGUUAAAAACAGGCAGAGCCACAGACAAAUGCAUGUCCGAAAUGACAGGAGGCUUUACAGGUCUCCUUGGCCCUGCCAAGAGGGAUGCAUGGCUGCAGUUAAGGGCAGAGAUCGAAGGCCUAACAGAUUCCUGGCUAACAAAUGCAC
rnacentral:lncRNA from 1 species